rnacentral:ncRNA from 1 species
CCCAUAGCGGGAGGCUCUGACGCGCGGCCCACACGGCCGCCCGGACCGCGCCGAGCCACUGGCGGGACCGACCCGCGACGCG